UGACUAACUGCCUUACUUACAUUUCUAAAUGGGCAAUGAUUUGGGUGUUUGAAUUUAAAUGCUGGCCUGUGUUCUGCAUAAAGUCAGUAUAUGACUUCAUUAGGACUUUUAAGCUUUUCUCUAGUGAAUUGAGCCUUUAGUCAUCCUCAAACUCCCUCAUUAAUACAUAUGCAUCCUCAUUUCUAGUGAAUUGAGAAAGCAUGUUGAAGAUUUGGGAUUUGAUCUUAAAAUAAUUAUAAACAAUAGUCUGAGGUGAUCUAAUGUAGGUUGGUUAAGCCGAGCC
rnacentral:lncRNA from 1 species